UACGUAGGGGGCAAGCGUUGUUCGGAAUUACUGGGCGUAAAGGGCUCGUAGGCGGCCAACUAAGUCAUACGUGAAAUCCCUCGGCUUAACCGGGGAACUGCGUCCGAUACUGGCGGGCUUGAAUUCGGGAGAGGGAUGUGGAAUUCCAGGUGUAGCGGUGAAAUGCGUAGAGAUCCGGAGGAACACCAGCGGCGAAGGCGGCAUCCUGGACUGGUCCUGACACUCAGGAGCGAAAGCGUGGGGAGCGAUCCGG
rnacentral:rRNA from 1 species